UCCCUCCCGCCAUAGACAGUAUCCUUGAGUCCUCUCCAGUCUUCUUCUCUCCUGGUAAUAUAUUCUCGUUCAUCACAAAGUUUCUUAUUCGGUAACUUUAUCUCGCCUCAGUAUUCUCGCCAGGUCCAUCAACCGCUUGUGUGUUUCAAACGUCAAUGGUUUGGUGAAACAUCAGCUAGCUGAUCCCCUACUGCCACUGAGGCUACCCAGUCGUCGUGGAGGAGGCAGUUCUGGGGCUCUGGGGGUGGGUGUUUCUCUAGGUAUUCGAUGAGGAUAACGUCCUCGGUGGAGAGACCACGGUCGCUUAUAUGAGUUGAGAGGGGCGAGCGAAGAAACUCGGAGGAAACGAGAAAGUCGAAGGAGAUUGAAGCGGAGAGAUUGACGGUUUCUCGAAGGAGAGUGUUCAAGAGCGUGUUUAAGUCCUCUGGAGUGAUGGGAGCAGGAACUGAGAGAGGAUAGUCUGGAACUGCAUAGCUGGAAUGUUAAUAAUAAUGUGUAGUUUUAACGGUUUACAAGAAUUUUUUCGAUCAGCAUCUAUUUA